rnacentral:rRNA from 1 species
AGAGCGACGGGCGAUGUGUACAUACCUUAGAACCAAUUAUCAUGAGAACAAUCUUCAUCCAAACAUUACAAUCAAAUCCAAUUUCAUAAAAAUUUAACAACAAAUAAUCCAAAGAACAUAAAACCAAUGUAAUCCACCUCACACUUAGAUAAAAGCUGCACCUUGACCUGAAAUAAAACAAAAUUAUGAAUCAAGAAAAUUUAAAACACUAAAAUGAUAAUCAAUAUACGGCGGUAUACAAACAAUAAAAACUAAGUAAGGUACAACGCGGAUUAUCGAUAACAGGGCAGAUUCCUCUGAUCGGAAUAAGGUACCGCCAAAUUCUUUAGGUUUCAAGAACAUACCUAAUACUACCUAGGAAAACAACCGUUAACACUCAAAAAUAA